rnacentral:rRNA from 1 species
GACUGAUUUAGUGUUCUUUUUUUAUGGGAUUUGACAAGUUAUUUGUUGUUGUUUAUAAUUUUUAAAAUAUGUGGUUUAAUAUAUAAUUUUUUUACAAACGUAUAAUAAUAAGAUAAGAAUUAUUUAUUAGACAGGGAUUAGAGACCCCUUUAUAAAGUUAUUAUAUUUUCUUGAUCUCAGUGUAAACUGAAAGAAAUUGGCAGUUAGCAAUAUCCUACUAGGGGAUUGUGUUGUUUAAACAGAUGAUCCGCUAAAUGAUUUGCCUUUUUAUUGUUGGUGUAUAUCCGGUAGUAAUAAAAAAUGAUUAUUUUUUAUUUAAACUGUGUUUUAAACCAGGUCGUUAUGCUGCUUAUAUUAAGGUGUUAAUGCAAUACAUUUAAAAAAUAAAUAUUUUGAUAUAUUUAUAUUAAGGACUUAGAAGUAAUAUAAAAUUGUAAUGUUUAUGUGAAGUAAGGUUUAGCUAAGGUACACAUCGCCCGUCAUUUUCGGCGUUUAGCU